rnacentral:lncRNA from 1 species
UUUCCUCCUUCCCUUUUCCUCGCAGAUUUUUUAUGGCAGCUCUGCUGACACAUGACCUUUGUGAUGCAUUAGGCAGCGAGCGCAUGAUCACACAGGAGAACAGCAGCUACGUACCUGCGGAUAGAGGGCUUGUGCUCUCCUGGGAAAACUCCCUGAGUGAUAACAAACCAAACGUUUGAAUUUAUAUCCCUUACAUACCUCCAUGCUCUAAUCCAAUCAAACUACAUCUCUUAGCUCUCUGUGGGACUCAUAGAAACCACAGGCUGUGUGGAGAUAUGAAGUAUCCAGCCUGCCCCCGGAGCGGGGCUGUGGAGUUCCUGAAGCUGUUCCCAUCCUCUCCACUUUUCCCACUGAGCUCACUGAGCGUUUGUGCGAGCUCUCCCAUCUCACCCCAGCGGAGGAUGGAACUGAUUAAGGGUGAUCCCUGUAGGUGAAUGCAGCCUGAUGGAGGGCCCUCUCCCUGCACAGUCUGACAUCAGACAAGCGGCGGCUGCUGCCCUCAAAGCUGCUCAGGAAACGCAGGGUUGAGCCCCCCGGUCCGGCUACAGCGCGAAAGGUAGUUUUUCUUCCCAAAUCAGAGGCUGACAGACUCC